AGGGAUAUUUUAAUAAAAAAAGACCAAUUUAUUCUUCAUAACUAAACUCGCAAAGUUACGUCCAUAAUCGUCGUUCAGGCGCCUAAAGUAGAAAUCUCUUUAGAACCAUUUUCACAUUUCUAAUUGCUAUCUGUUGAGUAAGAAAACGUCGGAACAAUUAUAAAUCUUAUUAAGAACAAAGAUAUUCACAAAAAUCUAAGUAAUAAAUUCGACUUUUAACGACAUUUAACUGUUUUAAGUCUUAAAUUAAAAUGUUUACUUUAAUAUUGUUUAAAGACUAAUUGAAAUUUGCCCAAAAGCGAAAAAGCCCGGAAAAACAAGGAAAAAGACGCUAAGAGAAUAGAGGAAGAAUAUGGAGGAACAGACACAAGAAGCGUCAAUGAACAACAGAAGAAACACUGGACUUUAGGUUGUUGAGGAGGCAUUGAAGCAAAUUUGGCAAAAAAUUGACCAAGAUAUCAGAACAUGAAGAGAGUGAAAUCAAUGAAAAAACAAUAUUAAGCUACGUGGCCUCAAAUGGAACGAUUGACUUGCUAGAACUGAUGCUUCAAGUGCCCGGUUUGGAUCCAAAUAAGCCGGACAAUGAGGGCAACACCCCGUUGCAUUUCGCUGCCCAAGCUGGGCAAGUGGAAUGUUUAAACUGCCUGGCAAGCCGAUGUCGAGGUGUGGAAAUUGACGCCCGAAACAAUUUAGGAUUCACCCCUCUGAUGAAGGCGGCUCUACAAGGAAGGAAUAAGUGUGCCAAAUUACUGUUAUUCGCUGCGAAAACAUAGCUGGGAAACUCAAUUGGACGAGCAUUCGUUAGAUAGAUAGAUGUUCGACCAAUAUCCCGAGCUUAUUUAUUUAUCCUCAAUAAAUUUGUUUUAAAUUACCGUUUGCCAAUGGAAUCGAUAAAAUUUUUAUCGCACUAGUUGUUUUUCAUGUCAAACAACUUUAAAUUACUGCUUGGCUUUAACAUCUGGAGGUUAUUUCCUAAUGAAAACCUACAAAUUGCAACCCAUCUUUCCCUGGGUUUGUAGUGGAGAUUUUUUAAAAGAAAAAUUGCACUCAAGUUGAAAACAAAUUGCUCAAAACAACCGCAAACAUACACAAAAAAACAACUGGAAAGCAGUCCGAAUCCAGAAGAAAAAAGACUGAAGUUCCAAAGAAUCGCUAAGCAGAGCAAUUCUUUGCUUCGAAACUUAACUAAAGAUGGCACAGGACGGACAAACUAAUUGUCGCCCUGAAGAAAUUGAGAGAAGCAACAGCAUUGAUGCUCUGAAAUUGCUAAAUAAUCCACAAAAUUUAGCAAAGCGCUGAACUAAAUAAGGAUGACAGAGGAAGAUCGCCUAAAAAACUGAUAAACGGAGCAAACAAUUCAGAAAAACACUUGACUAAAAAUUGCAGAGGAAGAUUUGUUUGGACUUUUAAAGCUAAGCGUGCGUUUUAUUUACGCCCCGUCAUGCAGCUUCUUGUCUGCCGUCUGUUUAUUUUAUUGU
rnacentral:lncRNA from 1 species